UUAUGUAAAAACCAUUGUCUGAUGGCUUGCACAUGCAUCAAAUAAUAUGUGUGCCAAUGAGCCACCAUUCAGACCAAUUAGUACACUUGAAAAAAAAAAAAGGCCCUAGACCCACCACACAAUAUCAUUUACUCCACCACAACUCCGACAGACCGACACAGAGUGAAUACUCUCUUCGACACAGCCUCUUUCACUCUCUCGACAACUCUCCUAAAACAAACUCUUUCAAUCUCCUCAGUUAUAUAUAUUUUGGUCAUUCUUCAAAGCACCUAAGAUUUCUCUCUCUUAGUUUUUCAAUAUCCAAAUCUCCUCAUCUCUAUUACACCUAAGAUCUGCCUCUCUCACUCACUCCAGAUCUCAUCAGAAGAGAGAUGUCCGGUAUGGGAGACAGGUAUGUGGGCACAAGACGGAGUGAGGAUCCGAAGGCUGGAGAAGCAAAUUAGGGUUUUCCGAACCUGACCUCAGUCAGAUCUUCAGUCAUUGCCUCACUCGUGGAAGCCCCUUGGCUAAUUAGGGUUUUGGGAAUUGGGGAAACUGGACCCUGAGGAAUUGGGGAUUUUAGGGUUUAGGAGGAGGGGUUGAGGGUGUAGAAGAUAAGGUCACCGAAUUAAGGUGAUACCGAGGGAGGCAAGGGAGUCGUCGGGAGAGGCGGAGAGAAGAGGGAGCGUCGGAGAUGGAUUCGGAGAGGGAUUGUUUGAGGUGGUGGAGAGAACACAGAUUCGGGACCUCGAUUCAGAGAGUCUGUUUGGACUCAAUAGCAGAGCUUGAAUUUACGAAUUGGAAUAUAGAGCAUGAAUAAUUCAAAAGCAAGUGAUUUAAUUACUGGGCUUGGAGAUAAAGAUGGACGACGAAGUCCGCUUGGUUCCCUUCUAUUCCAUCAAUUCAAGCCAUACAUUAAACAUUGAGGUCUUGAUUAUAUGUCCACCGCCAAGCUUUCUCACAACUGAACACAUGAACUUGCUCCCCAUUGACUUGAUUUUGAAGGAUACUUGACCACAACAAUAAUUUGGUGUUCGUGUCCUCCGAGUUUCCCUGUGUUUGGGUAGCAGAGUGGAGAUAAGGCAAUGGUUUUAUGCUUUGUGGAGUUUGUGGAUCCAAAGUGUGCUUUCACAGCUAUGGAAGCUCUACAAGGGACUCUUGUUUUGGCUCUAAUUGGUGGUCAUUUAAAACUUUGUUGGUUUUUGCUGUAACGGUUCUGUGCUACUUUGCUAUUCUAUCUAUUUGAUUUGCUUUGCUGGAGAUUAUAUCUAGUACAAUAGGAUCAUUGUAAACAGGUAUGUCCAGAACUACAAGGAAAAGGUGAAGUUGGAGCAUAGGUUCUGAAGUGCACAGUUGGGAAAGGAGGAUGAGAGGCAGAGCUUUUAGCAACAUUUUUUUGGAGAUUUGCAGGGGAGCAACAAUGGUUGAUCAGAUUGUGACUAUCUGUUGAAUGACCAAAUAAUGAGAUGCCAGUAAGUUUACUUGAAAGUUGUCUGCAAUUUGUUGUUUCCUUUGGCCAAAACUUGCAGUUUAUUAUUGCAAUUUAUGCAGGAAGUAAAAAUGAUGAAAAGAGCUGUUUGUGCUGCAUUUGCUGAAAGAGUUUCAUCAAAUGCUGAGGUAGCUAAUAACACCACCACACAUCUAACACUUUUAAGAAUUGUAACCUGUUGAAAACAAAUUCUAUACAGGGAAGUAAGUACCUUUUUGCUGUAUGUGAGAUUUUGCCUGGAAAUGGAAACAAGUGUAGAGAACUUAUGACGAUAUUUUAGGGUCUUUAUGUAGGGGAAUGUUUAAUUCUUUGGGCUUUUCAGUGACAGAAGGAUGAUUGAAAUUGAUUAUGUUUUCCUGUUAUUUUCGUGUUAACAGUAGCAUCAAUCAUACUAAACUGUGAGUGAGAACUGUUGAUUAGGUAGAAUUAUGUUUGAUUGCGUGAUCUUGAUUUAAAGUCUAGCAAGAGAGCUUUACCCCUUUUGUAUACUUGCACAUUUUACCUUAGUAUACAUCCCUCUCUCACUUUGUCUAAUUCCUAAGGUCACAGUGUUUAUAUAUGAACAUUUUGGUACUAAGUGUUGCGGAUCCUGAUGGAACUUGGCGAAACUGCAAGCUCAAUAUAAAGAACUGCUCAUCCGCUCAGCUCAAAACCAUUCAAAGUCAGUCUCACAAAAGACAUUAAUUUCUAAUCUAUAGUAGACCAAUAUUAGAUCGUUGUUUACAUGGCAUUUAAAUUCUGUUAGUAUUUUACAGACUUCGGGUUGCUAUCAAUGGAAUUUUAUUGUGUAGUGGUUGUUUCAAAUUUGUGUGUGCAUUUUUUGCUUUGAUAUUGAAUUUUUUGAAAAUUUCAGAGUUGGAUUUGAAUCUUGAGUACAAGCCAGAUGUCAGGGAAGACUUAGAGGCUGUGGGGAAGAAACUUGAAGAAUGCACCGGACAAUCAUGUGGAAGAUGGAGCAGUGAGGAAAGCUUUUGAAGUGAUAGAGAGAAAUUUGUUUAGGUAGAAGUUGUACUGAGGCUAGAAGUUGGUCUUUUUUGGGUUGGCCUUGAUUGCAGUUCGCCUUAUUUUGUGAUCCCUUAUUUUGUGGAUACAUCGGAUCCAUUUAGAAUGCUAUGGGAUUAUAACAGAUUUCUAUUAUGAUUAAAUUACCAUUCUUUUGGUCA